AGGAGCAGUACUUGGACUUAUGAUAGACUAGAGACCCAGAGUGCCUGAAAACAAAGACAAAGAGGAGCAAACAACCACUAUAGAGUUCAGUCUCCAACCCCUGCUUGUUUCUCCUCAAAACCCUACUUUUUGGGCUUUAUCAUAAACCUAUAAUACAGAAGGAAUAGUAAACCACAGCCUCAUUGUCUCUCCUCUUUCUGUCUCUUUCUUUCUUCAAAAACCAGAUCCCCAUGGAUACUUAUGAAGCAACAAACGUACUCUUGUCAAAGAUCAAGAAUAUUGACCCUGCAAACGCCUCCAAAAUCAUGGGUUACAUCCUCAUACAAGACCUUACUGACAAUGAUUUGUUAUCUUUAGCUCUUGGCUCCGAAACCCUUUUGCAAAACGUUAUUAUCAAAGCCAAAACCCACUUAGGACUUUUUACGAACGCCUUAUCCACAUAUUCUGAGCGAUCCUCUCCUUCGCUGUUCAAUCCUGUAUCAAAACCUAAGAACAAUCAUGACACUUCCUUACAAUCUUCUGCUAAAGCUAAUCCUUUUUUGGGUUUUGCAAAAAACCCAUUUCCACAUUCAUGGCCUGCUUCUGGCUUGACAAACAACAGUACCGCUGCAUCUAUUGGCCCAAAGUCAAGCCCUUUUCUGUCUUACGAUAAUAUACGUGCUGGUUCUGCUGUGAUGCCUCAAUUUUCUAACAAUUGUGUUAAUGGCAGUGGUGGUGACGCGAGCAGUAACAGUACUGAUUUACUUAAUGAGUAUCAAAUAGAUGAAUAUUUUCCUUUUCUUGACGAGCUCUCUCCAAAAAAUGAUGAAUCAGUGGACCCAAGGAUACAAUUGGGUGGUUUUAAUGUGAAUAAUGUGGAAAGCCAUUUCCAUAGGAGGAGAUUCUCUGAAAGUGAUGCGUGUAUUGGUAUUGAAGAUGUGAGUUUUGGAAUUGGCAAUAGACCAUGUAUGUACUUUGCUAGAGGAUUCUGCAAGAAUGGGGACAAUUGCAAGUUUAUUCAUGGUGGUUUUGAUGGUGAUAAUAUUUCUGAGGUUAGUGGCAGUGGUGUCAUUGGUGGUUCAGUGAGAGAAAUAGAUGGUCUUUAUCUUCAACAACAUGAAGACUUGAUGAGAAUCAAGUCUGCACAACAGCAGCAAAGAUUGGCUUACAACAAGUGCAUGAAUUUUCUGUUGCAGCAAGAGAGUGAGCCCCAAAGAAUGAGGGCAGCAUCAGCGAUGAUGGGUGAUGAAUUUCACAAGUUUGGCCAGUUCCAUUCUGAAAGGAAUGACCUUUUGGUAAUGGCAAUGGAAGAAAAGGCAAACUCAGCUUCUAGGCAGAUAUACUUGACAUUCCCAGCUGACAGCACUUUCAAAGAUGAAGAUGUGUCAAAUUAUUUUAGCACUUUUGGACCAGUUCAAGAUGUCAGGAUUCCAUAUCAGCAGAAGCGAAUGUUUGGAUUUGUUACAUUUGUCCACCCAGAGACUGUGAAGCUUAUAUUAUCUAGGGGGAACCCUCAUUUUAUUUGUGAUUCACGCGUGCUUGUUAAGCCAUACAAGGAAAAAGGGAAAAUUGCAAACAACAGGAGGCAACAGCAUCUACAGCAACAUCUAAUGGAUAAGGGGGAUUUUUCACCCUUUUCUAGCCCUUCUGGGCUUGACCCUAGAGAGCUAUAUGAUCUUCACAUUGGAGCAAGAAUGCUCUACAAUUCACAGGGGAUGAUGGUGAGAAGAAAGCUGGAGCAGCAGGCUGAGCUUCAACAAACAAUUGAACUCCAGGGGAGAAGGUUGAUUAAUCUGCAACUCCCAGACUUGAGGGGAGAUUAUGUUCAUCAUCACCGGCGAAGUCUGUCUGCUGGGACACCAAUUUCCGUGCCCCCUCAUACUUCUGUUGAUAUCAAUCAAAAUCUUACUUCUGAAGUCGAGAAUCAAGAUAUCUUAGAAGAUCGGCUAAUCAAUGGCAAAUGUGAUAGCUCAGCUGCCACCAUUGCCUCUACUUUUGCUGUUGCUGAACAGAACCUUCAGCAACAAGUAAAUACAACUUGCAUUCAGAGCAAAGACACCGUCAAUGGUGAGGAAGAGAAAAUCUAUCCUGAAGGAUGUGAUGCGAAUGAAUGAACUUAAAGAAAGCACCAAGUUCUCUGGGACUUCGUCUUCUGAAAUUAGUGCAUCAAUGCCCAUGAAUUCUACAAGUGAUGUGGCUUCUCAUUGAUGAUGUGAAAUGCUAAGGUGCAUCCUUGCCUUAAUAUGCUAUUUUUCUAUAAUUCUACCCUCCUACACAUUCACUCGUAAGGUUGGUGAUUCUGAUUCAUUGCCACUUUGUUUCCGAUAAUUUUUUUUUUCUUUUUGCUGGACAUGAAGGUAUUCAUGUAAGUAAUAAAGAUUCGCAUGACCAAACAGAUCAACCUUGCUAGGAAAAAUACAGCACAUACGAAGGUGGUCCUGUAGAUGUAUAGCAAAAUUAUACCUGCAUCAAAUGGUAGAUCUGUAGAGAAUAUCUCAGCAAGAUUUCAUCAUCAUGAUCAUCAAUACAAUACUACCAACAGCAAAAGCAUAUUACAUACAUAAUGGACAGGUGAACUAAUUUGAGUGGGGUUUUCUCUUUGUUGCUUUUUGCUCUUUUGUAGGUUGUUUUGGACCACAGACUGAAAUAAAACUGAAGAAUAUGACUCUUGUUACAAUGUCAAGUGUACAUCUUUGCAAUAUUUACCAUCGCUCUCUUAUAAGAUAUCUUGUUACACUUAUUAGAAGUCAAGCAUGUGCAAACGAGAUUUUGUACAGUUGUGUUAGCAGGAUUAAUUAUCCACUUUGAAUCUCCAACAGGCAGAGUAAAAAAGUUAAAGAGUGGGUGGGGGUGGUGUUGAAUGGGCUAUUCUUUUAUAUGAUUAAGGCAUACUUUUUGUGGGACUCUUUUGUCUCAUUUUAAUUUUUUAGGUUCACAUGUUGGGAAGGGCCACUCUUAUCACAUGGGUGCUGACACUAUAUAAAGAUGGUACCAGGGUAUCACACUGCUUUCCAUCUCAGCAUAUUGAAAUGUAUUUUUGUGCAUCUUCGAUAUAUUGAUGCUACAUCACUGUUUUCUGUUCUGUUUUCAAUUUAUGAUAGUUCCGAAUGUGCUGCAUAUGAUGCUGGAAGCACUUCUGUUCUUUGAACUUCUGAUGUUUCUUGAGUUUGGCAUUAUCUUUGUACGUGCAAAUAAUUAUGUAUUGUUUUUUUAACUGCAUUUAACCUUAGUUUUUUCCAAUUAGUCUGAUUUGUAACAUCAGAGUAUCAACCUAAUUAAUUAUCCAUGAUUGCAUAUCUGUCUCCACUAAUCCCAGUCCUUUUCCCUAAUAAGAUAAGAUCAUUCUUGGAUUUUAUCUUUCAUGUAGAGAAGCACAUGGACCACAAUGGUUGACACUGGACUGAUCUACGCCAUUGUUAUAAUUUUUUACACAGAUAUCUUGUCUUUUUUAUAAUGCAUCGACUCUUCUGCGCUUGAGAUAUCACAUGAAGCAAAGCAGUUACAAAGCAAUAAAGCUGAGAGCUAGAAUUCAGCUAAAAGUUACUGAGCUGGAAUUUACUUUAUUCUAAAAAUAUAGUUUGUUAGAAAUAUUUAGCACAUGUAGCUUGUGUCAUAUUGCAGUUACAGUUAGUUUUCUUCCCGCUUAUUUUCUAGCUGAUGUAUAAAAACAUAUCUUUGAGCCUUCUAUCGAGGAGAAUGAAUUACAAUUUCAUUUCCAGAAACUUGUUAGUUGUGAGAUGUCUAACUGCCAAGGCUUCUUAUGCCCAAGUUCCAUGAACAUCAAAUUUAUAGAACAAAGUCACUGGAUAAUAUGUAUAGAAUUAAAAAGUUUAAUUAAUUUCUUUCUUUUCCGUCGGCCCAAAAUUGUCUUAUUUGUUGAUGCGUAGAUCAUUACAUUUUUCACAUCAUAAGCAUCCAAUUUUAGCAAGUAGUUUCUUUAAAAUACUAAGCUUAACAUUCCUAAAAGGUGAAACUUU
rnacentral:misc_RNA from 1 species